GUUAAAGCGAAGAAAAAGGACGGAAUUAUUUCCGUGAUCCAUAGAGAAUACUCUUACCUAUAAAUGAAAACAUUGGUUGAAGCAAAAGACUGCCGUAGACGCAGGAAUGAGGGACAAAACAAAUUUAAUUCGCUUUACCAUCCGGCCGUGUCGUAAAAUGUUGUGUAAUAGAAUAUUGGCGUCCUGGCUGCUGGUUGUUUUGGACCGCGUACCACUGUGGUAGGGGGAAGGCCUCACUAGAACACUAAUGGAAAUCAGUAGUGUUAAACUUGCCAGGUUGCAACUACGGGACAUAAUAACGAAGUUUUCUUGAAGCAUCCACUUGACACGAGGAUUGGGAGAAACAGCCGGAUGAAGCAUUAAUAGUACGAAAGUUGGAGCAACGAUUCAAUUGGUUAGACGAAUAUGAAGGCGAUUCUCCUCUUUACUACACACUUAAAACUGGAUCUCGAGCUCGGCCAAAAAUCAUCCGAGUUCACUCGGCAAUUUUGGAUUCAACCGGUAUUUCAGCAAAAAAAUGCCGGUUGCCGACAGUUGUCAGAUCAUUUUGCCGAGACUUCGUCCAAAAAACUAAGCUUGACGAAUCUCGUCUCUAUUUUUUGCCGAAUUUAUCGUUAAACACUGUUGAUGCCGAGGUCAGCAAAAACAUUACUGGUAUCUCGGCACAAAUUUUACUCGUUGCCGUGUUUCGGCAAUACAGCUGUCAUUCUCAUGAACGAGUUGCCGCCAUUUUUCUUAAUGCAAAUUUAUGCGUGUUACGGGUGAGCAAACAGGAAUCGGAUACAAGUUUGGCUGACAUUUGUGCAAAUUACAAGUGUUUACAAUCCGGUAGCAGAAAAAAAUGUAGUACAGUUUGGGGGGAAGUGGCUGGAACUUAAAAAGUGUAGUUUCAAAUCGUGUGAAUACAAUAUUUUAUUUGUUUUAGGGAUAGGCAUUGACGUAAUUUUAGAUUAGAUGUUUAGCUCAAUGCCCUACUGGCGAGCAAGAUAAAGAUAAGUAUUCAAGAUUAAGUAUGAAUAAAUUUCUUUACUUACUAAAA